rnacentral:rRNA from 1 species
GACGAACGCUGGCGGCGUGCUUAACACAUGCAAGUCGAACGGUGAAGGGACCGGUUUUUGCUGGUUCUGGAUGAGUGGCGAACGGGUGAGUAACACGUGAGUAACCUGCCCCCUUCUUCUGGAUAACCGCAUGAAAGUGUGGCUAAUACGGGAUAUUCUGCGCCUGCUGCAUGGUGGGUGUGGGAAAGAUAUUGUUUCGGUGGGGGAUGGGCUCGCGGCCUAUCAGCUUGUUGGUGGGGUGAUGGCCUACCAAGGCGGUGACGGGUAGCCGGCCUGAGAGGGUGGACGGGCACACUGGGACUGAGACACGGCCAAGACUCCUACGGGAGGCAGCAGUGAGAAAUAUUGCACAAUGGGCGCAAGCCUGAUGCAGCGACGCCGCGUGAGGGAUGGAGGCCUUCGGGUUGUAAACCUCUUUCGCCAGUGAAGCAGGCCUGUCCCUUUUGUGGGUGGGUUGACGGUAGCUGGAUAAGAAGCGCCGGCUAACUACGUG